rnacentral:rRNA from 1 species
GACGAACGCUGGCGGCGUGCUUAACACAUGCGAGUCGAACGGAAAGGCCCUGCUUUUGUGGGGUGCUCGAGUGGCGAACGGGUGAGUAACACGUGAGUAACCUGCCCUUGACUUUGGGAUAACUUCAGGAAACUGGGGCUAAUACCGGAUAGGAGCUCCUGCUGCAUGGUGGGGGUUGGAAAGUUUCGGCGGUUGGGGAUGGACUCGCGGCUUAUCAGCUUGUUGGUGGGGUAGUGGCUUACCAAGGCUUUGACGAGUAGCCGGCCUGAGAGGGUGACCGGCCACAUUGGGACUGAGAUACGGCCCAGACUCCUACGGGAGGCAGCAGUGGGGAAUAUUGCACAAUGGGCGGAAGCCUGAUGCAGCAACGCCGCGUGCGGGAUGACGGCCUUCGGGUUGUAAACCGCUUUCGCCUGUGACGAAGCGUGAGUGACGGUAAUGGGUAAAGAAGCACCGGCUAACUACGUG